rnacentral:misc_RNA from 1 species
GAUGAAGAACGUAGUGAAAUGCGAUAAGUAGUGUGAAUUGCAGAAUUCAGUGAAUCAUCGAAUCUUUGAACGCACAUUGCGCCCGCCAGUAUUCUGGCGGGCAUGCCUGUUCGAGCGUCAUUUCAACCAUCAAGCCCCAGGCUUGUGUUGGAGCCCUGCGGCUGCCGCAGCCUCCCAAAACCAGUGGCGGGCUCGCUAUCACACCGAGUGCAGUAGUUUACUCUUCGCUCAGGGCGUGUGGCGGGUGCUAGCCGUAAAACCCCCAACUUCUCAAGGUUGACCUCGGAUCAGGUAGGAAUACCCGCUGAACUUAAGCAUAUCAAUAAGCGGAGGA